UCUUGCUGCAGCUCCUCAACUGCCCUGUUGUAAUGUGAAGUUACCAAAGGUCAAAUGUAGAUAAAUGAGUAUGGCUGUAUUAAAAAAAUUAUUCAUAGAAAGGGGCCAUGGGUGGAAUUGGGCUUUUGGGCCUCAGUUUGCUGGCCCUGUUUUAGAAGAAGAUUGGAUACUCCUCUUUAAGAUAGCAAAGGACAACUGGAAGUGCCUUAGACCAGCCCCUUAUCUUCCUUUAAGACGGUAUGUACCCCAGAAGCAGAUUCCCAGCCGAGAAGUCAUCACCAUGGGAAUUUGGGCUGUGACCAUCUGCUACAGCUAUUUUAGUCAACAAAAAAGAGAUAAUAGAAUCUACUUCUUUGUCUGUGUUGGACAUAAGGUGAGGUAAGAGUCCACUGUCUCAUUCUCCUGCUGUCCUCUAGACUAGCAGGAGACUCACUGGUCCAUAUGGGAGAACCUAAGGGCAAACCUUUACCCAUACUGCUAAGUGCCAGGUACUGCUCCAUCAUUUAAUCCUCAUGUCAAUCCUAUGAUGUGUAAGUACUUUAUCACAUUUACUUUUCAGAUGGAAGAAAUAGAUGCAGUCUUAGCCAAUGUGAGCCACUGACCCACCAGAGAAACAGUCCUGGACCUUAUAUAUAGAGAAAUGAGUGGGCAGAGCAAAUCAAGGCCUGGCACUGCAGGAAAACAAGGGAUUCUUGCCACAAGACAGAUGGCAACAUCCUCGCUCUACAGAAAUACGCAUCUCCCAGUCUCCCCAGGACCUGACACCAGCAGGUCUCCCACUGAGUCCCGUGGAGGUUUGGAGAGGCCUGUGUUGCAUGAGAGCACCGAUGACGCAGCAUUUCUGAAGUCGUCUGUGAGAGAAGAACAAGCCCAGAGCCAGGGGUGUGGAGCUCUUAAAUCAGCUUUGCAGUGACGUAGAGCCAGCUUGCUUCUGACUACUGCUUCAGAAGUGGUGUUGAACCCGUCUGACUCACACCUUCCCAAACCCUCACACAACUAGUUGGACCCAAGGAGGCUUAAAGAGUGCUUUUCUGUCUAAGAAGCUUUCUUUCCAAGCUGCUGGCCGCCCACUCUGUAAGUCAGUGCUACUCUUGAGAUGUCUGCACAUGGCCAAGAGAUAAGACUCAUGGCACACCUGCUACGGGGCUGACGGCAAAAAUCACUUGUCAGAUAAUCCCAACUUCAGGUAUGUUAGAAGGUGGGGGGAAAGUGCCUCAGCUCUCAUAUGAUAUUCAUUCUCUACUGAGACUGGUUCACCUUUAGAUUUUGCUCUUUAUGGUUAUUUUCUUCUCUAGCUCAUUCCCACAGCAUACUUCCCAUGCUGCAUGAUACACUUUUUGUCACAACUGUGCCCACCACAAAGUUUAUUUGUAUUCCAUAGGGAAUAUUCCAUACUCCAUCCAAAAUAUAGUAUAUUUUUACUUUGUUAAAAAAUUGCCAUCCAUGUCCUAAUUGUUGGCUUCCCCCUCACCAGCACUUUCAAUACCACUACUGCUGUAUUUGUCCGACCUGGUGGAGUUCCUGGUGUUGAUGAAAAAACAACUCAAGAACUACGUAUAAGCAGAACAAAUAGAUGGCCGAUUAAUGAAAAAUAAGAUGCUAAGAUAUAACAGGACACAAACCCAUUAGCUUUCAGAGGAAAACACAUUUCUGCUCUUUAGUGUAUCUUUUUGCACGAUUCUCAUGAAAGUUUGUUCACACGAUCUGUCUUAGUCCUUUUGGGUGAUUACAGCGAAAUACCACAGACUGGGGGGUUUAAACAACAAAAACUUAUUGCUCACAGUUCUGGAGGCUGAGCUGCCCAAGAAUAAGACACCAGCCAAUUUGCUGCCUGGUGAGGGCUCUAUUUCUGGCUUGUAGACAGCUGCCUUCUUGCUGCGUUUCACCAGGUCUUUCCUCUUUGCUCUCGUGGAGAGACAGAUCAAGCAAGCUCUCUAGUAUCUCUGUUUAUCAGGACCCUAAUCCUAUAGGGCGGGUCUGGGCCCCACUCUUAGGACCUCCCUUAACCUUAAUUACUCCUAUAAAGGCCCUAUCUCCAAAUACAGAACAUCUGGCUGGGCACACAGCACAAAUGUUCAAGUCCAUAUGGUCUUAAGUAUACAUAUGUUUAUAUAUGGACAUCAAAAUAUAAAAUGUUAUCUGAUGAUUUCCUUUUUAAGUUACCCCUAUUUAUGAACAUUUCUACCACUGAAUAUGGAUUAUUAAAAAAAAAAAGACAACUAAAAAAUAAUUAUUUUCUGCAAACCCAGUUUUUAAACUAACUUUUAGAAAACUGUUGAGAGGAGUUCUCUGCCCCUUCUUAUUCCAGUAAUUUGAGGGAGAGCGAAAGUCACUGGGAAAGGCCAACAGGCAGGUGCCUGGCUCCAGUGUGGGGGAUGCUGACACCCGCUGCUCUUGACAGGCCAGUGCAGAGACAUUCCCAAUGACUUGGGAAUCCAGGAACUUCUUUUUGGGCCUGCCCAGCUUUUCAGGACAUGGUGGUGGGUGUUAAUUCAGAAGCAUCAUUCAGGUCAGCAUUCUGGAAUCUUGAGCCUCAAAAGUGGUUUCACUUCAAAUUCAAUGUAAGCAACAUACCCGAAGUUUAAAGUCUGUAAAAUGUGGGUGCAGGAUUUUGUGAGGCUCCUUUUGGCAAUAAAACCCAAUGAUUCCCUUAUCCCAAACUUGCAAGAUUCAUGGACAAUUCUAGCAUGUUUUUACUCCCUGGCUCAUCCCUGGGCAGCUCAUAGGAAUGUCUACAUGACUACUAACCCUUCCCAAGGCACAUUUCAUAGAGAUCCUGGCCUAUUAAAAAUGUAUACCCUUGUAUAUCAGCUAUAUUUCAAUUUUAAAAAAAAAAUGUGGAUUUAAUGGGAUGAAAAUCCAAGAUGGGAACAAGUACACAUUAAGAUCCCAUAUCCACCCAUAAAACAGAAAUCCCGGACACUCCCCUAAACAUUUCUUAUUUAUCUAAUAUGCUGGAUAUGGUUUAGCCUUUUCUCUUUGAUGGUGCUAUUUGGAUAUGUGUAUGUUAGAAACAUCUGCACAGUAAUGCAAGUAAUAACAGCUACACUUACAUAUGUUCAUUAUUUUUAUAACCUUAGCAACACUCUAGUGCCCAGCAUAAUCCCCAACACAGUAGAGGCUCUUAAUAAAUAUUUGCUGGAAGAAUGAACAGAGAACAUUCUGCACUGCUUUAAACAAUUACAGUUUAGUGACUAAACUUUACAAAAUAAUCAAGAUGGUUUUCAAUCUUCUGAAAAAUAAAGUAAGCUCCGUGCACAUAAAAAUAAUCUGGAACACAUGUUACCACAUUUUGGAUUUAACUUUCUGUAAUUCAAUAGAUAACUUCCUGUAAAACCACAUGUGUGUGGGGUACAGUUACACCAUUUAAAACCCCAUGAUAAUUUGCAAUCCUAAGAACUAAUAAUGUUAUGUCUCUUCUCUACUUCAUAAGAGUGCUGACUAGAAACCUACAAAUGCAUUUUGUAUUCAAUCCAAUUUAAAGUGUGCUGGGCUGCUCCAUAUAAAAAAUGGACCUCUUUUUGUACCGCUGUUUUUAUCCUAAAUGUUGAGGCUUUCCCUCAAGGAAAACAAAGCAGAAUGCUCUCAGUUGAGGGGAGUGGGUGUAGGAACACCUGGAGUUCAUGUGUGUGCCACAAAUGGCUCCUGGGAAAAGCCUGGCGACCACUGCCCUGGCCACACCCAAGGCAGGUGACCCAGAGCACUGUGAGCAUUGUGCAGGCACAGCCACGCUGCCCUUGAUCUGCAGAGGGGUGGGGCCAAAGCAGGAGGGGCAAGCCUGAAGAAAAGCCACCUUCUGGAACCUUCGAGAAAGCCUCACUAGGGCAGAGUGGGGGUGCCACCUGCACCCAUGUGUGUCUUGCUGCAGAGCACGUGGUGCUGGGCUCCACCCUCUUGAGGAGCUUUGAGUACUCUGACAAGGCAGGGAGCAAACAGGGAGUGGAAGCAGGAACCCAGAUCCCAGGAAGUGACAUGUGUGUGAUGGCUAGGCAGGGAGACUGAGCACCAGACACUAACACAGUAGCUCUGAGGCCACUCAAAAUUGCCCACUGGGGAACACAAAAUGCUUCCUCCUUUUAGUAAUGUGUUCCUCUGCUGCCAUGUGGUCAGCUUGCCAGUGAGCGGUGCCAGCCAAUGGAUGGACCAUCCCAGGUUCUAGGAUAUCCACCCCAAGGAAUUUGUGCAACUAACACAUGAGACCUUGUGUGUGCCACGCACAAGGGGCAAGGGAGUCAAAGAACUGAAAAAGAGGCUUAUUUGUUCAGAGCUCAUGAACUAGCGGAAGGGACUGAGGGAGGCAUGUGGAAAUGAAGAUACCCCAGGGGCUAAGGGGCAGAGCAGAGCCCUCACUGGCUGGGGCCAGAGAGACUCUGAGAAGGACCUGAGGAGGUGGUGGGCAGGCACGGCGGGUGCAAAGGCAGUGUGUGUGCGGGGGCUCUGAGAGCUGCUCUGAGGGAACAGUGUGGGGCUGUUAGCCCACAGGCGUGCGCCUCCCUGGGGACCCUAUCCCACCGCCUCCCCUUGGGCUCCUGCGGGGACCAAGGAGGGCCCCUUCUCAAAGGUUAAUGUGCAGUUAAAGGGAAAGUAUUAAAAAACCUUUCCAAUGAAGAGUAACGUACAUAAAGUGCUAGUAUCACGCGUGUACAGGUCAAUGAAUUUUUGCAGACUGACCACACCCGUGUAACUGGCACUCAGAUUGAGAACCAGGAUGCUCAUUCCGCCACCAUGGGGUCAGGGCCUCCCCCCCAGUACUGCUGCUCCCCCAGGGAAGCAGUACCCCAAGUCCACACUGCUUUUGCCUAUGGCUGCCCUUCCCAGGGUAUCGUCUAGGCUGGACGUAAGUCGGCGAGAACCGCUCAUGCUGCCAUGGACAGUCACUUGCUCACUGUCGGGCCCGCACAGCACUUUGUCCUGCGACCAUGACUGGCACGGUUUUUCUGCCCAUUCUACACUCUCCUCAGGCACUGGGAUCGCGCCUGGCCUCCGCGAUCACAAACAGGGCUGCCCAGCUCCUUUCUUCCGGUGAGCGCUGUGCUGGGACACACCCAGGAGGGAACUGCCUGGCAAACCCUUUCUCAGAGUAGGUGUUCCCAUUUCCACCCUCACCAGAACAUGAAAAAUAAAAAUACUCCUGUGUUAAAUGAGGGAGCAGAUUCCGUAAGAGGAAACAUUUUAUCAUGUCCUCUAACUAGAAAAAUUAAUGUUUUUCAAAUGUUUGGACCUCUUGGUAUUUGAGGGGAAGUUACAUUCUUGGUGUUUAACACAAACCUUAAAAAAAAUUGAGUAAUCGCUCCUCUUUCUUGCCCUUGGUGGGGAUAAAACCUUGUCAGAUUAUAUGAUAGAAGGGUUGGAAGACAUUUCAAGAUGAUUUAUCAUGAUGUAAGUCUAAGGUCACGAAUAAAACAAAAUUAAUAAUGUCAGCCCAGCCAUUGGUGAUGGCUGACGUCAUGCUCAUGGUCAAAUGCAGCAGCUCUUCACAGCCAAGCCUGGCUGCCUGACUGAUGGUGCGGGGACAGAAUAUUUUGGUUUGGGUUUUUAAAAAAAAUGAUAGAAAAAAAUGUGAAAUAGCUGAGAUAUAGAUAUAUAUGGGUUGGAGUCUUUCACAAAGAAUCCUUUCAGCCUUGGUUUGUCCUUAAAAAUCUCAAACUAACAAGAAGCAAGUUUGUAUGGAGAUUUAUAUAUAUAUAUAUAUAUAUAUAUAUAUAUAAAAGCCAUUAUAGAAUUGAAUGUUGAUAAAAUUCUUCCUCAUUUAUGUGGACAUUAAGCAAGGUUCACAUUAAAUUUCUAUCUGGGACUGCAUUAAUCAACCAAAGAAAAAUAACAUGGCCCUAAAAUAACUCUAAAUCUGUAAAACUUGUAUCUUACGAUAAAUAAAGUUGCCACAUGGAAAUUGGUAUGAAAAAAGGGUAUCUUAAACAAAAUUGCCUAGAUUUGUAAGCUCUACAACAAUUUAUAGAGUAAGGGGUAAAUCUAUUCAUUACAUAAAACAUAUAAAGGUUUCCAUAUUCAUAUGCCUAAUGCUUUUUCUUCCCAAGUAAAUAUCUGGGAAAGGCAUUCAUUUGAAGAAGAACUCAUGUCAGCAAAAAGGAAAUGCCUAUCUUCAAUCUCUUUGCAUAUGCAAAUGGCAUUUUAUAAAUAUUAUAAAAGGCUACCGUAGUCCCUAUGGCAGGAGGGCCAUAAAAAAGUUCUUAGAGAGUUAGAUUUGAAAACUAAGAUUUUAUUUUAUCUGUGAUCUGGGCACUGUUGUGGGCACAUUAUAAAUAGUAACUCAUUAAUCCUCCCAUCAAUCCUGGGAGUGUCCUGUAAUUACCCUGUUUCACAGAUGAGGCACCUGAAGCACAGAAAACAUUUUGUGGACAGUUCAGUUUUUGCCCUAGUAAACCUCAGGGCAUUCCAUUUACCUCUCCCAAAGUACAUUUAACUUUAACAUAUUUAAAGGAUGCAUGUUAUCUUGAUUCUGUAGCUUAACAUCAGUUCUUAAGAGACCCUAUGGAGAGAUGGCUCUGACUUUCUGUGCCCAACUUCUAUGCAGGAGGUUUCAGGGCACAGGGGCUUUAGGAGUCCAUCUAUACUCAUACAUGUAAAUACAUGUGUAGCAACUGUGCAGAAAGACUGAUUUUUUUUUAAAAGAAGAAAAUUUAAGGUUACAUUCUCAUGGCUAUUUUGUUCAGCUGUUAGAAUCCAUGUUCACAGAUCUGCAGAGUAGGCUCAGAGUGCUUCAGUGAGUCUCUGACUCCUCUGAACCCAGAAAAACCAAAACAUCCAUUUAUAUUCAUUUUUAAAAUCAAGGCUCUUGGAAGUGGUGAGGUUCAACUAUAAGGGCUAAUGUCUUAGACCUUUCCCUGAAGCCCAGCAGUGCUCCGAGGGCAGUCCUAUACAUAUAAGCUCUGCCUCUAAAACCCUGGGCGGUGCCAGUUUUGAGCUCUAAACAUCUCCUGGCUUGUGUUACCCGCGAGUGAUCAACAAAACCUGUAGUAAAUACGAGAAAUGUAAACCACUUUAGCCCGCUGUUUUUUAAUGAGAAAUUCUGGAACUCA